rnacentral:rRNA from 1 species
UCGUGCGAGAAAAGGGGGGCAACUCCCUGAGUACAGCGGCGCACGGGUGAGUAACACGUAGGUAACCUGCCCUCGAGCCUGGAAUAACCUACCGAAAGGUGGGCUAAUACCGGAUAUGACCACGGACGUCUCGGCGUCUGCGGUGAAAGGUGGCCUCUACUCGUAAGCUACCACUCAAGGAUGAGCCUGCGGGCCAUUAGCUAGUUGGCGGGGUAACGGCCCACCAAGGCGAUGAUGGCUAGCUGGUCUGAGAGGAUGGCCAGCCACACUGGGACUGAAACACGGCCCAGACUCCUACGGGAGGCAGCAGUAGGGAAUAUUGCGCAAUGGGCGAAAGCCUGACGCAGCGACGCCGCGUGGGUGAUGAAGGCCUUCGGGUCGUAAAGCCCUGUCGAGGGGGAAGAAUCGGUUGCGACCUAACACGUCGUGAUCCUGACGGUACCCCUAAAGGAAGCACCGGCUAACUCCGUGCCAGCAGCCGCGGUAAUACGGAGGGUGCUAGCGUUGUUCGGAAUCACUGGGCGUAAAGCGCGUGUAGGCGGCCUCCCAAGUCUGAUGUGAAAGCCCGGGGCUCACCCCCGGAAGUGCAUUGGAAACUGUGAGGCUCGAGUCCCGGAGAGGAGAGUGGAAUUCCUGGUGUAGCGGUGAAAUGCGUAGAUAUCAGGAGGAACACCGGUGGCGAAGGCGGCUCUCUGGACGGUGACUGACGCUGAGACGCGAAAGCGUGGGGAGCAAACAGGAUUAGAUACCCUGGUAGUCCACGCCGUAAACGAUGAGCACUAGGUGUCGCGGGUAUUGACCCCUGCGGUGCCGACGCUAACGCAUUAAGUGCUCCGCCUG